rnacentral:tmRNA from 1 species
GGGGCCGACUGGACUUGACAGGAGGCAUAAAUGCGUAUGUAAGCAUGCAGGCUCAUGGGGUGAGAGCCUUGAAAGAUAGUCCCGACCUAUGAAUGGCGAAGAUUAUUCUUACGCUAUGGCAGCUUAAUCUGAUAUAGUAUCAGGUUAACCCUGGUUUCCAAUAAGAUUGGGACCGGCCAUCAUCGCUCUCCGCCUUGGUACUGUGGGCAGGGAAAUAGCGGUGUCAGAUAACAGCUACUGGUUUCGGUAAGGUUGCGCAUCCGGAACGAGAUUUAAGCAACUAAGGUAAAGUUUGGUAGUGAUACACCUGGCUUUAUUCGAAAACCAAAGUAUUACUAAGCAUGUAGAAGAUCCGUAAUUUAUCUUCUCUGGACCGGGGUUCGAAUCCCCGCGGCUCCACCA